rnacentral:lncRNA from 1 species
UAAAAAUGCUUUAAAUAAGAGGAAACAACCAAAACUCAAAGACCAUUUAGUGACAGGCAGAAAAGCCCUGCUACCCCAUCUGCUAGCUGCUUAGGGGAACAUAACUUAAGGAUUAACUCUGAAUCACUAAGAAAAGGGUAAGUUCAAGUUCUCCAUUUUACAAAGUCAGAGAACAAGUAUGAUACAUUUCAACAAAGUUUCAAUAAAAGCCAAUUAAAAAUAGAUUAGAAUAUGAAAAAAGAUGCUCAACCUGUCAUUACAGACCCGGAAAUUAAAACAGAAAUGUUAUACCAGUACACAUUUAUUAGAGUAGCAAAAUCAGUAGCAAAAUGACUGACACCACCAAAUACUGGAGAGCACAUGGGGUAACCUGAACCCUCAUUCAAUUGUUGGUGGGAAUGCUAGAUGGUAGAGCUCCUAUGGAAUAUGGUUUGGUGGUGUCUUACAAAAGUCCAACAUACUCUUAACAUAUAGUCCAGAAAGCACACUCCUAGGUAUUUACUCAAAUGAGUUGAAAACUUAUGUCCACACAAAAAACUGCCCAUGAAUGUUCACAGCAGUUUAUAGCAAUUUCUAAAACUUUUAAGCAACCAAGAUGUCCCUCAAACAGAUGUGAACAUCCAUGUAACAGACAAAAAGAAAUGAACCAUUAAGCCUCAAAAAGACAUGGAGGAACCUGAAGUGCAAAUUGUUAAGUAACUGUAGGAUUCUCACUAUAUAACAUUCUGGAAAUGGCAAACUACAGAGGCAGUGCAAAAAAAAAAAAAAAAAUCACUGCCCGGGGACUAUUCUGUAUGAUCUUGUAAUGGUAGAUAUAGGACAUUAUACUUUUAUCAAAGCCCACUGAACUGUACAACACAGAGUGAACCUUAAGGUAAACUAUGUACUUUGGUAAUAAUGUAUCAUAGUGAUUCAAGCAUAACAAGAGUAUAUAUACCAAGGUGAGAUGUCAAGAUAUCAGAAAGGGGCUUGGAGCAUUGUGAGGGGAGCAGAGAAGGGAGGAAGAAUUCACCUCACUGUUGAGAUUCUCCGCAAAUCUGCACUGCUCAAAAAAUACAGUACAAAUUUUAAAAAAUAGUUUUGGGAGAUUUAUAAAAUAAGAUACAGUCAUCUGGAAAAUUCACCAUAUGGAACAUCCAUUUUGCAAUGAUGUUACACAAAUAAGGCCAAGUAUAUUUAUUAAACCAGUUAGAAUUAACUAAAAAGCCACUCUUACCUUAUCUGCAUCAACACUGAAAUUAUCAGUAUAAUGUAUGGCAAACAAAAGAAGUCAGUUUUACAAUAUGUGGUUUUUAAGAACAUAAACUCCGGGAAAAGUCACUCCUUACUGGUGAGGGGUUUGUUACUUUCACUGGUAGCAGUAAAUGGACCAGUGAUUGUAGAUCAAAUAGGAACCACAAAGAAAGCAACACUCUAGGAAUUUAUUACCAAAUCAGAACCUAUACACAGACAACUAAGCUCAUGGGACUAGCAAAGUAGCAGCUCAAAAUGUAAGGAAAAGCACUGUUUAAGGGAUAACAA